GCUGGGUGUGGUGACGCACGCCUGUAAUCCCAGCUACUUGGGAAGCUGAGACAGGAGAAUCGCUUGAGCCCAGGAGACGGAGGUUGUGGUGAGCUGAGAUCGUGCCACUGCACUCCAGCCUGGGCAAUGAGAGUGAAACUCAGUCUCAA
rnacentral:SRP_RNA from 1 species